rnacentral:rRNA from 1 species
GAUGAACGCUGGCGGCGUGCCUAAUACAUGCAAGUCGAACGAAUCUCUUUUAGAGAUGAGUGGCGAACGGGUGAGUAAUACAUAGGUAACCUGCCCCUGUGCGGGGGAUAACAGGAGGAAACUCCUGCUAAUACCGCAUAGCCAUGAGCACCGCAUGGAGCUCAUGCCAAAUAUCCUUUCGGGGAUAGCGCAGGGAUGGACCUAUGGCGCAUUAGCUAGUUGGCGGGGCAACGGCCCACCAAGGCAACGAUGCGUAGCCGGCCUGAGAGGGCGGACGGCCACAUUGGGACUGAGACACGGCCCAGACUCCUACGGGAGGCAGCAGUAGGGAAUUUUCGGCAAUGGGGGAAACCCUGACCGAGCAACGCCGCGUGAGCGAAGAAGGCCUCGGUCGUAA